rnacentral:rRNA from 1 species
UAUUGGACAAUGGGCGCAAGCCUGAUCCAGCAAUUCCGCGUGGGUGAAGAAGUUCUUCGGAUUGUAAAGCCCUUUCGACAGGGACGAUGAUGACGGUACCUGUAGAAGAAGCCCCGGCUAACUUCGUGCCAGCAGCCGCGGUAAUACGAAGGGGGCUAGCGUUGCUCGGAAUGACUGGGCGUAAAGGGCGCGUAGGCGGCACAACUAGUCAGGCGUGAAAUUCCUGGGCUUAACCUGGGGGCUGCGUUUGAUACUGUUGGGCUAGAGGAUGGAAGAGGCUCGUGGAAUUCCCAGUGUAGAGGUAAAUUCGUAGAUAUUGGAAGAACACCAGGGGCGAAGGGGGCCACCUGUCCAUUACUGACGCUCAGGCACGAAA